AUUAAGGGUCUAAGUAUCCUAAAGGCACCAUAUCCAAUCUCAGUUUGGAAGCUAAGAAGGGUCAGCUCCAAUUAGUACUUGGAUGGGAGAUUGCCAAUGAGUACCAGGUGCUAUAGGUU
rnacentral:rRNA from 11 species